rnacentral:tRNA from 1 species
AGCAUUGUAGCUUAGUGGUUAAAGCAGAUGCCUGCAAUGCCAGCAUCUCAGAUGGGUACCAAUUCCCAACACAGCUG